rnacentral:rRNA from 1 species
GUCGAGAAUCUUCCGCAAUGGGCGAAAGCCUGACGGAGCGAUGCCGCGUGAGGGAUGAAGGCCUUCGGGUCGUAAACCUCUGUCACCCGGGACGAAGAAUGUGACGGUACCGGGAGAGGAAGCACCGGCUAACUACGUGCCAGCAGCCGCGGUAAUACGUAGGGUGCGAGCGUUAUUCGGAUUCACUGGGCGUAAAGGGUCCGCAGGGGGUUUGCCAAGUCUGAUGUGAAAUACCGAGGCUCAACCUUGGAAUGGCAUUGGAAACUGGUGAACUUGAGUGCACGAGGGGUGAGCGGAAUUCCUGGUGUAGCGGUGGAAUGCGUAGAUAUCAGGAAGAACACCGAUGGCGAAGGCGGCUCACUGGCGUGCAACUGACCCUCAGGGACGAAAGCGUGGGUAGCAAACAGGAUUAGAAACCCUAGUAGUCC